AUUGAACGCUGGCGGCAGGCCUAACACAUGCAAGUCGAGCGGCAGCGGGAAAGUAGCUUGCUACUUUUGCCGGCGAGCGGCGGACGGGUGAGUAAUGCCUGGGGAUCUGCCCAGUCGAGGGGGAUAACUACUGGAAACGGUAGCUAAUACCGCAUACGCCCUACGGAGGAAAGCAGGGGACCUUCGGGCCUUGCGCGAUUGGAUGAACCCAGGUGGGAUUAGCUAGUUGGUGAGGUAAUGGCUCACCAAGGCGACGAUCCCUAGCUGGUCUGAGAGGAUGAUCAGCCGCACUGGAACUGAGACACGGUCCAGACUCCUACGGGAGGCAGCAGUGGGGAAUAUUGCACAAUGGGGGAAACCCUGAUGCAGCCAUGCCGCGUGUGUGAAGAAGGCCUUCGGGUUGUAAAGCACUUUCAGCGAGGAGGAAAGGUUGGUAGCUAAUAACUGCCUGCUGUGACGUUACUCGCAGAAGAAGCACCGGCUAACUCCGUGCCAGCAGCCGCCGUAAAAC
rnacentral:rRNA from 1 species